rnacentral:rRNA from 1 species
AGAACGAACGCUGGCGGCGCGCCUAAUACAUGCAAGUCGAGCGAGAAGGUGUAGCAAUACACUUGUAAAGCGGCGAACGGGUGAGGAAUACAUGGGUAAUCUACCAUCGAGUGGGGAAUAACCAGCCGAAAGGUUGGCUAAUACCGCGUACGCUUCCGAGUCUUCGGGCUUGGAAGGAAAGCCGCACUGUGAGUGCGGCGCUCUUUGAUGAGCUCAUGUCCUAUCAGCUUGUUGGUAGGGUAACGGCCUACCAAGGCUUUGACGGGUAGCUGGUCUGAGAGGACGAUCAGCCACACUGGCACUGCGACACGGGCCAGACUCCUACGGGAGGCAGCAGUAAGGAAUAUUGCGCAAUGGGCGAAAGCCUGACGCAGCGACGCCGCGUGGGGGAUGAAGGUCUUCGGAUUGUAAACCCCUUUCGGGAGGGAAGGUGGAGCGAGCAAUCGUUCGGACGGUACCUCCAGAAGCAGCCACGGCCAACUUCGUG